rnacentral:rRNA from 1 species
AGUGAACGCUGGCGGUAGGCCUAACACAUGCAAGUCGAACGGCAGCACAGUAAGAGCUUGCUCUUACGGGUGGCGAGUGGCGGACGGGUGAGGAAUACAUCGGAAUCUACUUUUUCGUGGGGGAUAACGUAGGGAAACUUACGCUAAUACCGCAUACGACCUACGGGUGAAAGCAGGGGAUCUUCGGACCUUGCGCGAGUGAAUGAGCCGAUGUCGGAUUAGCUAGUUGGCGGGGUAAAGGCCCACCAAGGUGACGAUCCGUAGCUGGUCUGAGAGGAUGAUCAGCCACACUGGAACUGAGACACGGUCCAGCCUCCUACGGGAGGCAGCAGUGGGGAAUAUUGGACAAUGGGCGCAAGCCUGAUCCAGCCAUACCGCGUGGGUGAAGAAGGCCUUCGGGUUGUAAAGCCCUUUUGUUGGGAAAGAAAAGCAGCAGGUUAAUACCCCGCUGUUCUGACGGUACCCAAAGAAUAAGCACCGGCUAACUUCGU